GACGAACGCUGGCGGCGUGCUUAACUCAUGCAAGUCGAACGGUAAGGCCCUUCGGGGUACACGAGUGGCGAACGGGUGAGUAACACGUGGGUGAUCUGCCCUGCACUUCGGGAUAAGCCUGGGAAACUGGGCCUAAUACCGGAUAGGACCACUGCCUGCAUGGGUGGUGGUGGAAAAGCUUUUGCGGUGUGGGAUGGGCCCGCGGCCUAUCAGCUUGUUGGUUGGGUGAUGGCCUACCAAGGCGACGACGGGUAGCCGGCCUGAGAGGGGGACCGGCCACACUGGGACUGAGAUACGGCCCAGACUCCUACGGGAGGCAGCAGUGGGGAAUAUUGCACAAUGGGCGCAAGCCUGAUGCAGCGAGGCCGCGUGAGGGAUGACGGCCUUCGGGUUGUAAACCUCUUUCAGCACCGACGAAGCGCAAGUGACGGUAGGUGCAGAAGAAGGACCGGCCAACUACGUGCCAGCCGCCGCGGUAA
rnacentral:rRNA from 1 species